GAUGAACGCUGGCGGCGUGCCUAAUACAUGCAAGUCGAACGCUUUGUGGUUCAACUGAUUUGAAGAGCUUGCUCAGAUAUGACGAUGGACAUUGCAAAGAGUGGCGAACGGGUGAGUAACACGUGGGAAACCUACCUCUUAGCAGGGGAUAACAUUUGGAAACAGAUGCUAAUACCGUAUAACAAUGACAACCGCAUGGUUGUUAUUUAAAAGAUGGUUCUGCUAUCACUAAGAGAUGGUCCCGCGGUGCAUUAGCUAGUUGGUAAGGUAAUGGCUUACCAAGGCGAUGAUGCAUAGCCGAGUUGAGAGACUGAUCGGCCACAAUGGGACUGAGACACGGCCCAUACUCCUACGGGAGGCAGCAGUAGGGAAUCUUCCACAAUGGGCGAAAGCCUGAUGGAGCAACGCCGCGUGUGUGAUGAAGGGUUUCGGCUCGUAAAGCACUGUUGUAAGAGAAGAAUGACAUUGAGAGUAACUGUUCAAUGUGUGACGGUAUCUUACCAGAAAGGAACGGCUAAAUACGUGCCAGCAGCCGCGGUAAUACGUAUGUUCCAAGCGUUAUCCGGAUUUAUUGGGCGUAAAGCGAGCGCAGACGGUUAUUUAAGUCUGAAGUGAAAGCCCUCAGCUCAACUGAGGAAUUGCUUUGGAAACUGGAUGACUUGAGUGCAGUAGAGGAAAGUGGAACUCCAUGUGUAGCGGUGAAAUGCGUAGAUAUAUGGAAGAACACCAGUGGCGAAGGCGGCUUUCUGGACUGUAACUGACGUUGAGGCUCGAAAAGUGUGGGUAGCAAACAGGAUUAGAUACCCUGGUAGUCCACACCGUAAACGAUGAGUGCUAGGUGUUUGAGGGUUUCCGCCCUUAAGUGCCGCAGCUAACGCAUUAAGCACUCCGCCUGGGGAGUACGACCGCAAGGUUGAAACUCAAAGGAAUUGACGGGGACCCGCACAAGCGGUGGAGCAUGUGGUUUAAUUCGAAGCAACGCGAAGAACCUUACCAGGUCUUGACAUCCCUUGACAACUCCAGAGAUGGAGCGUUCCCUUCGGGGACAAGGUGACAGGUGGUGCAUGGUUGUCGUCAGCUCGUGUCGUGAGAUGUUGGGUUAAGUCCCGCAACGAGCGCAACCCUUAUUACUAGUUGCCAGCAUUCAGUUGGGCACUCUAGUGAGACUGCCGGUGACAAACCGGAGGAAGGUGGGGAUGACGUCAAAUCAUCAUGCCCCUUAUGACCUGGGCUACACACGUGCUACAAUGGCGUAUACAACGAGUUGCCAACCCGCGAGGGUGAGCUAAUCUCUUAAAGUACGUCUCAGUUCGGAUUGUAGGCUGCAACUCGCCUACAUGAAGUCGGAAUCGCUAGUAAUCGCGGAUCAGCACGCCGCGGUGAAUACGUUCCCGGGUCUUGUACACACCGCCCGUCACACCAUGAGAGUUUGUAACACCCAAAGCCGGUGGGGUAACCUUCGGGAGCCAGCCGUCUAAGGUGGGACAGAUGAUUAGGGUG
rnacentral:rRNA from 1 species